rnacentral:rRNA from 1 species
UGCGCAGGCGGGCUUGUAAGUCAGUGGUGAAAUACUGCCGCUUAACGGUAGAACUGCCAUUGAUACUGCGAGUCUUGAAUAUGGUUGAGGUAGGCGGAAUGUGUUGUGUAGUGGUGAAAUGCAUAGAUAUGACACAGAACGCCGAUUGCGAAGGCAGCUUACUAAGCCAUUAUUGACGCUGAGGCACGAAAGCGUGGGGAGCGAACAGGAUUAGAUACCCUGGUAGUCC